UACGUAGGGUGCGAGCGUUAAUCGGAAUUACUGGGCGUAAAGCGUGCGCAGGCGGUUUUGUAAGUCAGAUGUGAAAUCCCCGGGCUUAACCUGGGAACUGCGUUUGAAACUACAAGGCUAGAGUGUGGCAGAGGGGGGUGGAAUUCCACGUGUAGCAGUGAAAUGCGUAGAGAUGUGGAGGAACACCGAUGGCGAAGGCAGCCCCCUGGGUUAACACUGACGCUCAGGCACGAAAGCAUGGGGAGCGAACGGG
rnacentral:rRNA from 1 species